rnacentral:sRNA from 1 species
GCGGUGGUUGCUUGGCUUGGCGGUGGCCGCUUGGCUUGGCGGUGGUCGCUUGGCUUGGAGUGGCAGUGAUCGCUUGGCUUGGCAUUUCUGGCUUGGCAGUGCUCCUUUCGCAGAUUGGAAACCGCAGGCUAUCCUGCUGGGAGGUUGUGGCCGAGGUAGUAGCUCGCUACUGAUGGCCUCCUGGGGUGGAGAAAAGCGGGGAGGGGCUGAGGGGUCUCCGAAGCCGGCAGUCUCCGCCAUGAGGAAGACCCCUAGUGUCGGGAGCCAGGAGGACCAGUGGUACUUGGGCUACCCGGGGGACCAGUGGUCCUCAGGCUUCUCCUCCAGCUGGUGGAAAAACAGCGCUGGCAGCGAGAGCAAGCACGAUGAGGGCGCCUUAGACCAGCCCCAGCACGACGUCCGCCUGGAAGAUCUUGGCGAGCUCCACAGAGCUGCCCGGUCGGGCGACGUCCCUGGAGUGGAGCGCGUCUUGGCUCCUGGAGACACUGGCGUGGACAAGAGGGAUAGGAAGAAGAGCAUUCAGCAACUAGUUCCUGAAUAUAAGGAAAAACAGACACCUAAAAAUCUUCCUCAAAAUAACAAUCCAGAUUGGCAUCCUACUAAUUUGACCCUUAGUGAUGAGACUUGUCAGAGAUCCAAGAAUCUGAAAGUUGAUGAUAAAUGUCCAUCUGUAUCACCAUCAAUGCCUGAAAAUCAGUCAGCAACCAAAGAAUUGGGACAGAUGAACUUAACAGAACGAGAAAAGAUGAACAUUAGAGUUGUACUUCUCUCAGGGAAUGAUACUCUCCAUGACCUGUGCCAAUCACAGCUACCAGAAAACAAAGAGAGGAAAGAAGGUAACAAAGAAGCAUAGAGAAUUCAGUCCUAGAGUGCCUCUGCUUGGCUGCAUAGUGCUAUAGUUCUGACUUAAAAAAACUUUUUCUGGUAAAAUGUGCUUUGUGUUUACUCACCUUUUGCACUGAACAGAAUACCUUUUGGCAGGAUAUUUGUAUUCUUCCUUUAACCAAAGCGACAUCUAGAUAACAGACAAUUAGGGGAAAGCAUGAUUUUCUUUAGGAAGUAGGAUUAUAUUUAGAAUGUAGGGACUAAGUAUGUUUAGGGACUAACAUAGGAUUAUAUUUAGGAUAACUUAGUAGAGACCUAAAGAUUGCUGACUCAAACACAAUGUGGUUUCUUUGCUUUAUUUUUACAGCUCUGAAUUCACAGCUGUUAGUUAUAACUAUAUGCACUAUAACUUAAAAGACACCUUCCCACACCUGUAAUCUCAGCACUUCAGGAGGCCGAGGCGGGUGGAUCACGAGGUCAGGAGUUCGAGACCAGCCUGGCCAAUAUGGUGAAACCCCAUCUCUACUAAAAAUACAAAAAAAACUAGCCGGGCAUGGUGGUGAACGCCUGUAAUCUCAGCUACUCAGGAGGCUGAAGCAGGAGAAUCACUUGAACCCAGAAGGUGGAGGUUGCAGUGAGCCAAGAUUGCGCCACUGCACUCCAGCCUGGGCAAUAGAGGGAGACUCCAUCUCAAAAAACAAAAACAAAAACAAAAACAAAAAAACACCUUCCAAAAGCAAAUAUUAAGUGACUGCCUAUCGUUUCUAUGACUUUAUGUAUUAUAGAAUUGACUUUCCAAGUCAGUAAUUAAUAAGACUUAUUGAGAAUUUGCUGCAUAGUAUCUCCUCGGCUGUGUCCACAUGAGCUACCACCUUGCAUUAAUAAAUGUGUUCACUAGGGAUGUUGGUUUUGGCAUUGACAGUGUUCUAUCACCAAUGCAAAUAAGACCAGGGACCACUCUUGAGAACAUUAAUGUCCAAGCAUCUUAACAUUAUACAUAAGGCUUUCAUAAUGUGACUUCUGCUCAGCUCUCCAUCUUUAGCCCUUUCCCCCGUGUGCCCUUUCUCUGGCCUUCCUGAACUGCUGGUCCUGUCCUGCUGACCCAUCCUUCGAUUGCCGGCAAACACAUAUACUCUUUCAGGCCUCUUUCUGCCUUUUGUUGCUGCCUGUCAUGCUCUCAUUCUUUCCUGUUCCCUACCCCUUCUAAUUAGGCUAGCCUCACUCUUUAAGCCUCAGCUCGGGCAGGAUCUCUAGAAAAGUCAUCUCUGACAUGCUUUCUUUUCACUCUUUAAAUCCUAGUGCCUAGCACAUAGCAAGACUCAAUACAUAAUUGCUGAGUAAAAUAGAUAAUGACUGUUUGUACAAAGAUGAUUUUCAAGAUUUUUCCCUACAGUCAAGGAGCAAAGGGAAUAGACAUGUAAAGCAAUAAUUGACAGUUCGGGUGGUGGAGAUGCAGUGGAAAAAUCAGUAAAGUUCUAGGUCAGCCCUGAGGAAGGAGAUACCUAGAUACCUAUUUACCUGGGGAAAGAUGAGGAUGAGGGUAAACUUCACCUAGCAGUCUGUUUUUUAUUUUAUGUAUUUUAUUUAUUUAUUUUUAGCAGUCUGUUUUAAAAGAUGAAAAUAUUAAUACGUUUGUCAGAAUAAUACAGGGAAACAUUUCAGAUGUUAGGAAGAGGUUGUACACCAAUAAAGGUGUCCACAGUCAUUUUGGAAAUCAUUAAUAAGGUACUAUUAUGAAGUGGAGAACAGUAUGCAGCAUUGCCUAAUAAUAUUGCUACUGCAUUCCAAAAUUUUGUUGUGUUUGUGAUGGCUUUGUUCAUUGAUGUUGGAUGGAUGAAUCUGUGAGUGAAUCUUCAACAUGAUUGUAUUUCUUUAACCUGGUGGCAUCUAGUAUCUCCCAGAAAGUGGUUUGUUGAAGUUUUGGAGAAUUAGAAGUAUUUCUUAAAGAAGUAAGUAUUCCACUAAAGAUCAAGCUUCAUUUAAACUCUCAAUUUAUGAAAUAAAAUGAAAUGUAAUUUAAAAUC